rnacentral:rRNA from 1 species
CACGUAGGGCGCAAGCGUUGUCCGGAAUUAUUGGGCGUAAAGAGCUCGUAGGCGGUCUGUUGCGUCCGCUGUGAAAACCCGGGGCUUAACCCCUGGCUUGCAGUGGAUACGGACAGACUAGAGGUAGGUAGGGGAGAAUGGAAUUUCCGGUGGAGCGGUGAAAUGCGUAGAGAUCGGAAAAAACACCAACGGCGAAAGCACUCUGCUGGGCCGACACUGACACUGAGAGACGAAAGCUAGGGGAGCGAAUGGG